rnacentral:rRNA from 1 species
UACGGAAGGCAGCAGUGGGGAAUAUUGCACAAUGGGCGAAAGCCUGAUGCAGCUAUGCCGCGUGUAUGAAGAAGGCCUUAGGGUUGUAAAGUACUUUCAGCAGGGAGGAAAGAAUAAAACUAAUAAUUUUAUUUUGUGACGUUACCUGAAGAAGAAGCACCGGCUAACUCCGUGCCAGCAGCCGCGGUAAUACGGAGGGUGCGAGCGUUAAUCGGAAUUACUGGGCUAAAGGGCACGCAGGCGGUUAAUUAAGUUGGAUGUGAAAUCCCCGGGCUUAACCUGGGAAUGGCAUUCAAGACUGGUUAGCUAGAGUCUUGUAGAGGGGGUAGAAUUCCAUGUGUAGCGGUGAAAUGCGUAGAGAUGUGGAGGAUACCGGUGGCGAAGGCGGCCCCUGGACAAAGACUGACGCUCAUGUGCGAAAGCGUGGGGAGCAAACAGGGAUUAGAUACC